rnacentral:rRNA from 1 species
GACAGAGGAUGCAAGCGUUAUCCGGAAUGAUUGGGCGUAAAGCGUCUGUAGGUGGCUUUUUAAGUCCGCCGUCAAAUCCCAGGGCUCAACCCUGGACAGGCGGUGGAGACUACCAAGCUGGAGUUCGGCAGGGGAGACUGGAAUUCCUGGUGUAGCGGUGAAAUGCGUAGAUAUCGGGAGGAACACCUGUGGCGAAAGCGGCAUACUGGACCAUAACUGACGCUGAGGCGCGAAAGCUAGGGGAGCAAACAGG